UACGAAGGGGCUAGACGUUGUUCGGAAUUACUGGGCGUAAAGCGCACGUAGGUGGUCUGUCGCGUUGUUCGUGAAAACUCACAGCUCAACUGUGGGCGUGCGGGCGAUACGGGCAGACUGGAGUACUGCAGGGGAGACUGGAAUUCCUGGUGUAGCGGUGGAAUGCGCAGAUAUCAGGAGGAACACCGGUGGCGAAGGCGGGUCUCUGGGCCGUUACUGACGCUGGAGGAGCGAAAGCGUGGGGAGCGAACAGG
rnacentral:rRNA from 1 species